rnacentral:rRNA from 1 species
ACGUACACUCCACGGGAGCAGCAGUGGGGAAUUUUGGACAAUGGGCGAAAGCCUGAUCCAGCAAUGCCGCGUGAGUGAAGAAGGCCUUCGGGUUGUAAAGCUCUUUUGUCAGGGAAGAAACGGUGAAAGCUAAUAUCUUUUGCUAAUGACGGUACCUGAAGAAUAAGCACCGGCUAACUACGUGCCAGCAGCCGCGGUAAUACGUAGGGUGCAAGCGUUAAUCGGAAUUACUGGGCGUAAAGCGUGCGCAGGCGGUUUUGUAAGUCUGAUGUGAAAUCCCCGGGCUCAACCUGGGAAUUGCAUUGGAGACUGCAAGGCUAGAAUCUGGCAGAGGGGGGUAGAAUUCCACGUGUAGCAGUGAAAUGCGUAGAUAUGUGGAGGAACACCGAUGGCGAAGGCAGCCCCCUGGGUCAAGAUUGACGCUCAUGCACGAAAGCGUGGGGAGCAAACAGGAUUAGAUACCCUGGUAGUCCCA